rnacentral:rRNA from 1 species
AUUGAACGCUGGCGGCAGGCCUAACACAUGCAAGUCGAGCGGUAGCACAGGGAGCUUGCUCCUGGGUGACGAGCGGCGGACGGGUGAGUAAUGUCUGGGAAACUGCCUGAUGGAGGGGGAUAACUACUGGAAACGGUAGCUAAUACCGCAUAACGUCGCAAGACCAAAGAGGGGGACCUUCGGGCCUCUUGCCAUCAGAUGUGCCCAGAUGGGAUUAGCUAGUAGGUGGGGUAACGGCUCACCUAGGCGACGAUCCCUAGCUGGUCUGAGAGGAGGACCAGCCACACUGGAACUGAGACACGGUCCAGACUCCUACGGGAGGCAGCAGUGGGGAAUAUUGCACAAUGGGCGCAAGCCUGAUGCAGCCAUGCCGCGUGUAUGAAGAAGGCCUUCGGGUUGUAAAGUAUUUUCAGCGGGGAGGAAGGCGAUAAGGUUAAUAACCUUGUCGAUUGACGUUACCCGCAGAAGAAGCACCGGCUAACUCCGUGCCAGCCGCCGCAGUAA